CUUCUUUACAUUAAUUGAUUUAUCUCAUUAUUCUGCAUAAAAAUAUUAAGGGGUAUUCUGAUGUAAUGGUUCUAAAUGUAAAAAACUCGAAUUUUUUUACAUUUUCUGCAAAUAUAUGUAUAGCAAAUAUAUGUAUGCAAAAGGAUUUACUUCAAUUCAUAAAAUUUACUAAGUAAGUUACAGCGACUGGAAGUGAUAGGUUUACGCUUGCCAAGCGGGAAGGCGACACACAAUAAUAUCGUUUCGGCAGAUCUAUCUCGGAAAAGAUUCAUAUGACUGCUAUUUUUAGAAGCAAGCGAAAAUGUUUGUGAACUCCCAGAAUGAUACUUACAUCUGCUGUUCGGAGCGACACUCGAGUGAUUUCGCUAAACAAGUCAGAAUCGAUCGCCGGAAAAAAAUAUCAGCUGAGCAGGAUUUGUUCGAAUAAGAACAGGGCCCCCCUCUAUGGUCCUGAACUGGCUGAUUAAUGAUGAGCAGAACCAAUCGUGGACGUCACGCAAGCACUUUCUUUUCAUUGUUCACUACAAAGCAGUUAAUUAUGGAUAAUUCGCAUUUUUUUCUAUCAAAAAAUUUACAAACAUACUCUAAAUAUUAAUAAAUAUG
rnacentral:misc_RNA from 1 species